UACGUAGGUAGCAAGCGUUGUCCGGAUUUACUGGGCGUAAAGAGCGCGCAGGCGGUCGUGCAAGUCGCGUGUGAAAGCCCCCGGCUCAACUGGGGAGGGUCACGCGAUACUGCUCGACUCGAAGGCAGGAGAGGGAAGUGGAAUUCCCGGUGUAGUGGUGAAAUGCGUAGAUAUCGGGAGGAACACCAGUGGCGAAGGCGACUUCCUGGCCUGUUCUUGACGCUGAGGCGCGAAAGCUAGGGUAGCAAACGGG
rnacentral:rRNA from 1 species